AUAUAUAAAUUAAACGUUCUGAUUUAGCACGGCAUUUCACUGGAGUUGUUGAGCUCAAUAAGAUGUCCACAUAUACAACAUCAAAUGAACAAUACACAUUUAUGCUAUAUAUUUUGAGAACUCACCAGAUAGUCGCUAUGCAGCUCGAGUUUAAAUUGUUUUAAGUGCUUUAGUAUAGUCUUGAGUAAUCUCUCGAAAAAUACAUAUUGUUGGACAAAAACACAUUGGAAACUGUCUGUAAAACCAACCUACAAAGUACUUCUAUAAUUUUACCAAAUAUGUUUAUUUAACUUCUGCACACUCUGAAAAAAACUCUGAUAGAAAUAUAACUGAUAUGUUGUGUAAGUUCUUUUUAGCUUUUUUCAGAUUUCUUCAACCAUACUAUAUCAUGCCAUCAUUUCAGUAAAUCUUGCUAAGUAGCAAGGUCGAGGUAGAAGACAAACAUGUUGUACUGACAGGAAAACAAAGAUGCCCUGCCACCCUGGUAUUCUAGACCUAUUGGUUCAUUGAUAUUUCGAGCUUUCACUGACAAUACGUUGGUUGCAAGUGAACCUGCCUCAGUAUUAAGAGGUCAUGACCAUUAACAUGCUAGAUUCGGCAACAUUUCAUCCACUUUGCCUCUUAGCUCAGAUUCAAGAUGCACGAGAUGUCAGUGUAAACUUGUAAAUUAUCAGCAGAGAAUUUGAUAAGUACGAUGAAAGAUCGCUUCAGCUGUUGCAUGAAUCAUGAGUGAUGUGCAUACUUUAACAUGCAAUGGACUCAUCGGAGUGGUAAUCUGGGGUGUCUAGCAAUCAUGUGGGCUUCACCCGUGCAUGUUCAAACCUGUUGCUCAUGUUAUUAAGCGACUUUUGGUUUGGGAAUAAACUUGCUUGGAAUCCUGGAUCUGCAGCGUUCCGUGGAAAAUGGGUCGACAUUCUUCAUAUUAUUUUAUUUUUUACUUAAAAGUUAAUACAAAAUUACAUGUCCACUGCCACUUCUCAAAUAAGUGGACGUGCCGGAGUGGUUAUCGGGCAUGACUAGAAAUCAUGUGGGCUUUGCCCGCGCAGGUUCGAAUCCUGCCGUCCACGCUCUUUUGUUUUUGUCUUUUAAGUGCAUGAAAUAUGUGUAUUUUCAAAAAUCGGAAAUUAUGCUGUGGACUGGAGAAGUGCCUUGAUGAUCAUGUCACUACUAACAAGCGCCACUAAGCAUAGCUAACUUAAAGAUAAUAUUUGAACAAUGUCCUUUACAUAUAUUUUACCGUGUUCUGAGGGUGAAGACUUCUUUAUUGCUGGUGAAAUUCAAAUAUAGAUGUAGGAAGAUCUUUCAUUUGCAAGGUAAGUCUUGCCAGUUGCCAGAGAAGGACUAUAAAAGUACUACUCUCUCCUAUUCACCACAAGUGUCCAAUUUGCUUAACACUAUGUAUCUCUUACUCUUAAUUUGUAUUUUAUUAUUAAUUUGUGGGAUCUUGUUUGAUUUGUCUCAAUGCAAAAAUUAUUUUUAUCAACUUUCUAUAAUUUUUAAUUAUGUACAAUUAGAUAUAUUAAGAAUUGAAUAAGUGCAUUAGAUAGAGUGCAUAUAAAGCAAAUAGUUCACUUGUGGUGAAUAGGAGAGUAUUAUUCACAUUCAUAGUGAUUAUUAAGGUUGGUGUGGCAUUUGAGUCACUUCCGUCGAAGUCAUAUUACACUUCCAGCAUACCUAUAGUUGAUUUCGAUAACACUUUCUCUUCACGUGUUUUAAGUGUCUCAUGCACUUUCUAGUUUAAUUGCCGAAACAAAUAUAAUAGCUUACAUUAAUAAUAUAUCUUGAUAUGCAUAGUGUUGGUUCUCUUUUUUAUUAUGUAGGCUAAAGGCACUUAUUGAAAAUAAAUUUAUGAUAAAUUGCGAAUCUCUUCAUUUAUUACAUAAAUAAAUAUAAGGUUGAUUGUGGCAAGAGGAAUUCUUAUAUUGUUGGAUCAUGGCUGAGAAGACGAUUUGAAAGAUAUAUAAUUUAUUGUGAUAAUGGCAAAGAGGAAUUGUCAUACUAUAUAGAUCAUAGUUGAGAAGAUGAUUUGAAAAGUAUAUUAUUUACAAGUCUUGUAUAAGAUACUUGAAUUUAUACUUGUAUAGAAAGCAAUUUUUUUAAUAGUCUGAACUGAUUUAAUCAGAGUUAUUUCACGCUGAGAUGACCUCAAUAAAGGAUUAGUGUAUUGUUUAUUAUGAUGCUUGCUUUUUAGAUAAUAUUUGAAAACUUAAUUAAGGGCCUUCUUUUUUUAACAUCAUCACAGGGCCUCAAUAAUCCUUGCUCUGCCCCUAAAUGGUCCCUACUAUUUCUUAGUUUUAGUGCGAAAUUUCUUUGUUGAAAUCUAAAAGAUACCGAGGGGUAAUGUAAUAAGUAAAUUUAAACGGACUAAAAAACAUGUAGUUAGUACAAUGAAAUGGAGAAAUAAUGUAUUUACUUGCUUUUGGCUUGUUGGUGAAACCAACAUGAAUUGCUUUUUUCAUUGAUUUUUUUAUUGUUGGUUGAACCUUUUUUUUAUUAAUUUACAACCAAUAGUGAACACUCAGAUUUAUCCAAUACCCUCUUAAAAAGCCGAGUUAUUCAAUUAACAUAAACAUCAACAUAAAUAGGAAAAAAUACUUUAAGUCAAACAUAAUUCAUAAAUAAUUCAAGUCAACUAAAAACACUUAGAAUCAUUUUCAAAGCACCCUAUAGAAAAUUAAUAGGAAAAAUUACCAGGAAUAAUACAACCU